GUCUCUCUCUCUCCCUCUCUCAAAAUAAAUAAACUUAACACAAAUCCCAAACAGAUCAUUUGGUGCUGGGUGGAGGUGUCUUUGUGUGUGGAGGGGGGUUGGUGCAAUCUGGGGAAGGGUGGGGUGAGGCCUCAGAAGGACAGGCCACCCAAGGAAGGGAGAGGAGGGGCCAGGCUUAAGAAAUUCUAGAAGUCAACAGGAUGUGGGGCUGUGGAGUGGGCAGGGCCAAGGUGAUUCUGAGGUUUGCAGUCUGAAGAUGCUGUAACCUAGAUGUGAGGCCCAGAAUGUGCUACUUCCUGCAAAUGGGCUGACUGUCAUGGCAAUGGGGCCCCAGGGCUGUACCCCAAAAUAUCAAGGGGGCAGGCAACCUGCAUGGUGAGUUCAGGGACAGAGAAGGGAGGCGGAAGCCCCGAGUCCUCUCCAGGAAAUGCCCAGCUGAUGAGGUUGGUGGCUUAUGCAGUUCCUCCCCAGCCUGUCCUAGCAUUUAAGUGUCAUAGAGAGCUACACAGUGGUGGUUGGGCAGUGGAGGGGCAAAUGCCAGAGAUAGAGGAAACCAGGGACAUUCAAGCGACCGGUUAAAUGCUUUUGUAUAAUUGUUGGCUAAUAAAAGAGUUGGUGAGGACCAGUUGCAACCUUGUGAUUUUUUUGUUUGUUUGUUUCCAGCCCGCUCAGCUUCCCAUGAUAGGUACAGAAGAGAGAGGGUUCAGACCUGCAGAAGGUUCUGCCGGACAGUCUUUCACUGAUACCUCAUCUCCCAGGGAAGAAGAGGGAAAUUUGGACCCAGACACAGAGGAGAAGGUCGUGUGAUGACAGAGGUAGAGAUUGGAGUGAUCAAGAAUGGCAAGGAUGGCCGGCACCCACCAGAAGUUAGAGUCAAGGAAGGCUCUUCCCUGCAGACUUGAGAGGGACCGUGGCCCCGCGGACACAUUGAUUUUGGAUUUCCAGCUUCCAGAAACGUAAAAGGUGAAAGCAACCGAGUGUCCAUCCACGGAGGAGUGGAUAGGAAGAAUGUGGCCCGUUCGUACACUGGAAGAUUCUUCAGCCUUAAAAAGGAAGGCUGUUCUGACCCCAGCUACAACAGGGACGAACCUGGAGGACGUUACGCUGAGUGAGGCUCAGCGUAACACCUGAUGGAAGGAAGAAGCCCAAGAACGAUUUGUUAAAAGAAACAACGGAUGAGAGAAUAAAUCGGGAACUGAAAUGUGAAUAGGAACGGACGUAGCAUGAUUGCAGCCAAGGAAAUAUGGAAGAAUGUUACACAGACAAGUCCAGGAAGUCAAGGCCACUACAGUUCAGCUGACGGGGGAAUCUUUUUCAGAUGGACCAUAAGCAGGAAGUGAGACUUCCUUUCGGCCCCAGGGAGAGGACUCAGAUAGAGGCUCCCCCAAAAGACCCCUCCUCCAGGAAGCCUGCCUGGAACGUUUUCCCUUUUCAGCCUGACUGAACUCAUCCGGUGCCUUGGGCACUUAAACAUACUGGCUGUCUCAGGUGCACUCGAGGCUCAGCGUACCCCUGCCGUGGAGAAGUCUGGCAGACCGAGCCUCAGACAGGAGAGAACAACGAAACAGCCAUUUCCUUCCUCGUUGGGGUCCUGUGAGCUGUGGUCGCCAGCAGGGAGGAGAAACAACCACCGUCACCCUCACCGAAUCACCAUCCCCGAGAAUAACCUGCUCCUGCCUUCACCCCCUUUGCCCUCACAGUCAAACAAAAACUGCCGAUAACCUCAAUCAUGGCACCCACCGUCAACGUCACACAGAACAGGGAACGGGUCCCGCCGCCAAGUUCCCUACCGUCGCCACCGCCACGGCCACCGCCGCUGCCACGCUCACAGCACUGGCCGUCCACGGCCACACACGACCAACCUCCACUAGGGCCGCCGUUCCCACACCACCAUCGCCAGGGCGGUCGUCAAAAAUCAGCAACGGACGGCCGACAGCCAAAAGUGCUGCCAUCACCGCCCCACUCGGGGCGAGAGCGGCCACCGACUACCGUCAUUCCACGGAUCAGCCCUGAAGACGACCAGCCACCAACCACAGAUCAACACCGGCUGGCAGGCGGCAACCAUCGCCCCUGCCGACACGCGCCCACGGGACUCACAGUUACCGCCAACUUGCGACGACCGUGGGCGGCGAUGACCACCAUCAUCCCCCCCCCCCCCCCGGGCACCCACCACCCAUCAUCAUUCAACAGCAACCGAGAGUCGCCUCCCCCGGCUGCCAUCACUAACGACAGCAAUGAAUGGGCAUCGCCCACGGGGACUGCAUCGAGGGCACAGCGCGUGGCUUGGGGAAGCACUUGAAGAACACUGCUCCGUUGACUCCUUCCACACUCUUCCUAGCACUCAUCGCCCCCCCCCCAGGAAGCAGUCGGCACCCCUGGAUGGAAGUUUUGGCCUCGUGGAUGGGGUCUGCCCUCUCUUUUCCCCUCCGUGGUCCUCUUGGGUUGAGCUUCUCCCUUCCCGCAACCCGCCAGGAGAGCAAACCAUUGACUAAGCAUUUUGUACAGCUUCCUUGUGAGGGGGUGGGUUUCUUUCAAGUAGCAAAUCAUUUCCGUGUUCUUUUGAUCUCCGUCUCCCCAUCGGAGCGCCCGAGCCUUCCUGGCUUGGCUCCUUCUUCGAGGAACUCCCAUCCCAAGCCCGGGGCUCUAAGCUGCCACUUUGGUGGGUGAGCCACCCAGAGGGGUCCUCGGCCAGUGACCCCCGGUUCGUCACGGGCUUUCUGAAACGAGGAGGGGCUCUCUCCCAGACGGACGCAGUCCCUGCUGUCUGGCCCACCACCCUGCCUCCACCUUGGUCAGGUGCCCGCUGCGGCUGGCUGGGUGACUGUCCCAGCCACAUGCUGUCGUUGACAGAGUGACAAAAAUUGAAAGUCGAAGUGGUUUGCAGAUGCGUGGAGCGGUGGGGGCACAUCUUAGAGCCAGCCUGGGCUCUCUCUUUAUGUGUGUGUUAGGAGGCUGCUGGGUCUAGACCCACGGUAGUGACGGUCUCCUGAACCCUGUCACCGCAGUCAUCGCCAGACCUCAGCCUCACCAGGUGGUGACGCGGCUGGCGGCAGGGUGUCCCCUGCCAUACUUGCUUGGAAGGCUUCCGGGAGUGGUGUGGCCCUGCCGGGCCUCACCGCCUCCUGUUUCUGUGAUCGCUACAGCCAGACAUGCAGGCACACUGCCACGACACCAUCACUGCCCCCCAUUGCCCACUGGACACGGCUUCUGGCCGCAGCUGUGGACUCAGAGUGGCCGAGCCCGCGGACCCUCUGAAGUGCGGAGAGUUUCCCGGAACACCUUCCCUAUCACCACUGACUUCCAAAUAUGACAUGUGUGGGAACUGAGGCCCAGAGAGGGGAAGUGGCUUGCCCAAGGCCACACAGGAAGACGAGGGACCAAGAUGAGCUGGACACUGGCUCUCUAAGCCCUGACAAAGGGGUAUGUCCUUGUCCCCUGCAGAUACUGUGUGGUCCCUCAGGGUCAUCCUCUGUCCUUUGUUACUGCUCCCUCCUUGGUCCCCUAUCACCAUUCUGGCAUCCUGGCCCCACCCAAUGUGAACUUGGACCCUGGUGAAGGAUGCUGGGGCAUCUGAGCUGCAGAGAGGGACCCCCCAAAGGGUCCUCUGUGCCCCUCCCCCUGGCCCCACCUUCUGAUGGUGGCCCUGGGGCACCUCCACCUGGGUGGUUGCUCCCCACCCCUGCACUCGAGGGCCCGGCCUUGAAGGACUUACCAUGGUGAAGGUGUGCCACCCCUGGGGAGCGCCCGAAUGGGUCGUGGCGGGGGUCCAGGCUCAGGGCGUUCUGGGGGGCGGCUCGGGCAUGGCCCUGCUCCUGCUCCUGUACCGGACUCCUAGCCUAGUUCCUCUUACAACAGCCCCCCCUCCCACUUCCUUUGGCGGGAGGGGCCUCUGCUACAGGGGAGGAGGGACGCUGGGCCCCAGGGCGGGGAGAAAGCUCCAGCAGCAGAGGCAGGGCUGCUUGGGGCUCAGCCUGGAGGGAGAGGUCAAGGGUGGCCGCGGCUGGCGGGCCCCAGAAGGCCCCUUCUCCAACUGCGGGGACAGGGGCUGCGGCUGACAGCACGCAGGUCAGCUGGCUGCGGGACUGACUGUUCUUCCAGGGGGGGCAUCAGGGACCUUUUGGGAGGCCCCGGCCUCUUUAGAACCACUUCAGAGGUGUGUCCGUUCGGGCAUCUCCGAGCAAACUCCCGCUUCCAGGGCCGCCCCUGCCGCUCCUUCCUCCAGAAAGGCCUUGGGGGGCCACGUGUGUCCGUGUCACGAGGAGUGCAGGAGUACCAGGAGCCACGGGCAGCUCUUAGGGUCCCAGACUUUGGAUGUCAGCUCUGGAUUUAACAACCCAUCGGGUGGUGCCAGAUUUAACAACCUGCUACUUCGGGGGCGCCCCACUUUCUUAUAAAAUGGGGGGCGCUGGCUCUCACCCCAGGGCCUGGCACACACAGGGUCCCAUCAGGUGUUGGCUCACCUCCCGGUCUCCCCUUGACAUUUAGGACAUGGCAGUUCGGAGAGGUCGGCGCCUCCCGGCCAGGAGGAGGAGGAGGUCGAGGCCGAGGCAGGCGACCCUGGGAGCCUGCGCUCCUGGCGGUAACACAGCAUCGUGCUUCGAGGCCGGCAAGCCGCAGCGGCCCCUAGUGGCCACACCUGGGGAGGAGCGAGUUUCUCCCGAAAUCGCCCGCACAGGCGGGGGGCGCUGGGUAAUCUCAGCGGUGCCUCCAGGCACCUGCGGACAAGCAGGCAGGUGGACCUUCUCCUUGCCGGAGGCUUCAGAGGGGGGGUUCUGCAAGGGGGUGACGCUUGGGCCGACGCCGAAGGAACCUUUAGAAUGCAGAGCGCUGUAGUGCGCCGGGAAGGGUGCAGUACUCAGCGCUGCCACAGGAGGGCCUGCCGGAAUCCGGACGCUGUGCGGGGGACUGGGGACAUCGGAAAUGAGGCUGUGACACGAUGCUGGAGCGCUUGCUUUGAGGCCUGUUUUAAGUUCACAUCAGCCCAGUGAGAGCACACGGCCAGCGCCUUUCCUCCAGCCCGGCACUUUGUGACAUAGACUUCAAAUGUGGCGCCUCUCUUGUCCUGCCCCACCCCGACGCGUCCAGACCCUGCGAAUACUGGGAUGCGUCAACGGGACUGUGGAUCUGAAGAACAGAAUGCUGAUGAUCCCCAGGAGGGUCUGAAGGUUAACGGGGGACUGGAGAGAUGAAGCCGGGAGCCUCCCGCCUCCUGCUGUGUGUCCCUGGCAAGUUGCUUGGCCUCUCUGAGCCUUGUUUCGUGCAUCUGUUGAGUGUGAAUGCAAAUACUGGUGCUCAAUAGGUGCUUAGCUCCCGGCUGUUGGACGAGAGGCUGGGAGAGGUGUUGCAGGUGGAGUCUCGGCGGGCAGGGGAACCGCUCAAGACCAAUUCUGUUGCUCUCUUCUUGGCCAGGACAUGUAGCACACAGUAGGUGCCUCAUAAAACCUUGCCGACCUGUUUGGGUCCAAGACUCCUGAAUCUAAGGCUUCCUUUUCCCUUUUCUUUAAAAAAAAUUUUUUUUUUAAUGUUUAUUUUUGAGACAGAGAGAGACAGAGCAUGAACGGGGAGGGUCAGAGAGG